rnacentral:lncRNA from 1 species
AGGCCUUGAACCCGGGCGUUGUCCCCACCAGGCUGCAAGUCGGCCAGGUCAUCAAUGUGCCGUGCUCAGGAGGAGGGUACGUACGCAUGUAUGUAUGUAUGUAUGAAAUUACUGCGUGGGAAAACGAAAUAGGAGCUCAUAGGCUACAUGUGUGUGUGUGUUACAUGGUUGGGGGUGCGUGACCCCAUACCUGUAAGACUACCCAUACGAGCCGAAGGCCCAAGGGCAAUACUACAACGCCUAAAAGCCACGGAGAAAAGGAAAAAAAAAGGCUACAUGUGCUUGUACCGUAACACGCAAGCACCGCCGACCACCUAAUGUUCCAGAAUCUACCGAGUGCAGUUGGUUUAUUAAUGAUAACUGCUAUGAGUGCUGAUAUUAGUGCAUUUCCGGACACGACUUUCGGGCCACCUAUGGCCAAAAGGAAUGAACUUGUGUGGGCGGCCAGAGCGACGUGAAUCCAUUCAUUUUUCCCAAGUCCGAAAACCCCAAUUUAUUUCUUAUUUUAUUGAAUCUGAUUUCUUGUCACUAAGAGCACAGUGCCUCUAAUCAAUCCCAUACGUACCGUGUGUGCCUGCUGGAUCAGAUCAAUGCCGACCUCCACUACUCCAGCUGCCAGAGGUAAGCACAUGCACUUGCUUGCUCGCAGGUGGUGCAGAUAUAUAGACACAUGACUGCCCGUUUAGGAUUUCUUGCGUAGUUGCCUUACUGCUUAGGGGUCGUACAGACGG